rnacentral:lncRNA from 1 species
UAGAAUUAAUAUCACAAAAGUUAAUGCAAGUACAUUGGAUUCACUCAAAUAUUAAUCGAAAGCACAAAUGAUGCUUCAUGUCUAUAUUAUUGAGACAACUAAUUAAUAGUGUAUAUUGGAUUGUAGGAAAUUGUGAAGCUGUGAAACCAUUAAUAAUAUACUCUGAUCAAUGUAAGCGUAGCCAGUGAAAAAGAUUAAUCAAGCAAAAAGGUACAUAUGGAAAAACGUUUUCAAAUUCUCUCUUUUACUUAUAAACAGUUCAAAAAAUGUGCCAAGGUGCUAAUGCAGGUAAAUGCCUUUUACUUAUUAGAAAAAGGCCAUAAAGCAAGUCAUCUGAGAAGAAUCAAGUAGUGCAGUUUAAGGUUGUUCGUGUUCAGCUUUGGAGAAGAGAAUGUAGGAUCAGAAGUGCUUUCUCACUAAAAAAGAUUUGCUUGCUUCAGGGUGUUUUCCGGAAAAGUUUGACACGUUUUCAAGCCAUG